UCAAGUUCUGCCAUUGUGAACGGUGGGUC
rnacentral:sRNA from 1 species